rnacentral:rRNA from 1 species
CCUACGGGCUGCAGCAGUGGGGAAUAUUGCACAAUGGGCGCAAGCCUGAUGCAGCCAUGCCGCGUGUAUGAAGAAGGCCUUCGGGUUGUAAAGUACUUUCAGCGGGGAGGAAGGCGAUAAGGUUAAUAACCUCAUCGAUUGACGUUACCCGCAGAAGAAGCACCGGCUAACUCCGUGCCAGCAGCCGCGAUAAUACGGAGGGUGCAAGCGUUAAUCGGAAUUACUGGGCGUAAAGCGCACGCAGGCGGUCUGUCAAGUCGGAUGUGAAAUCCCCGGGCUCAACCUGGGAACUGCAUUCGAAACUGGCAGGCUAGAGUCUUGUAGAGGGGGGUAGAAUUCCAGGUGUAGCGGUGAAAUGCGUAGAGAUCUGGAGGAGUACCGGUGGCGAAGGCGGCCCCCUGGACAAAGACUGACGCUCAGGUGCGAAAGCGUGGGGAGCAAACAGGAUUAGAUACCCUUGUAGUC